UGCCGCGUGAGUGAUGAAGGCCUUAGGGUCGUAAGCUCUUUCGCCUGUGAAGAUAAUGACUGUAGCAGGUAAAGAAACCCCGGCUAACUCCGUGCCAGCAGCCGCGGUAAUACGGAGGGGGUUAGCGUUGUUCGGAAUUACUGGGCGUAAAGCGCGCGUAGGCGGACUGGAAAGUUGGGGGUGAAAUCCCAGGGCUCAACCCUGGAACUGCCUCCAAAACUAUCAGUCUAGAGUUCGAGAGAGGUGAGUGGAAUUCCGAGUGUAGAGGUGAAAUUCGUAUAUAUUCGGAGGAACACCAGUGGCGAAGGCGGCUCACUGGCUCGAUACUGACGCUGAGGUGCGAAAGUGUGGGGAGCAAACAGGAUUAGAUACCCUGGUAGUCCACACCGUAAACGAUGAAUGCCAGUCGUCGGGUAGCAUGCUAUUCGGUGACACACCUAACGGAUUAAGCAUUCCGCCUGGGGAGUACGGUCGCAAGAUUAAAACUCAAAUGAAUUGACGGA
rnacentral:rRNA from 1 species